GCUGAAAUUUUGAGACACGGUUCGAUAUCUUCCCUAUCUAAUACAUCACUACGGUGGAAGCAGGCGUUAAACCAACAGUUACUACUACCUGUCUCCUGAAUAUCUUACAAAACAGAAUUACCAGUAGAUUCCAGUAGACCUGUAUCAAGAUGAGAUUCGCUUUGGUGUUACUGUUAGUGGUAAUGGUAGGACUUGUGGUUCCUGCUGAAAGCUGGAGAGUAAGAAUUAGACUAAGGAGGUUUUGGAGAAAAGUUAAACCCGCAGUAAUCACAGCAGCAAUUACAGGAAGAUCUACUGCUGAAAAGGUGGAUCUUGAUGCCCUGGCGAAAUCUCUAAAAUUGGAUCCAAAAUCAGAAGACUUUCUUGACAUCUUAAGUGUUAUAGAUACAAAUGGAGAUGAUAUCAUAACACCAGAGGAAGUCGAUGCAUUCUUUAACGACAGGAAAUAAAGAAAUCGGAGAUACACAAGGAUCCUAUUACGAUGUAUCAUUUAACAGCUGUAUUAUCACCUGAAUAAAUCAGGAGCAUCAUUA